CAAUCAGCCUAUCCGUGUCCUAGUUCACCCAUGGUUCACCAUUUCGAUGGAGGAGCUAGAGUAGACCGAGUAGAAAGCAUUUUGUGGUAGGUUUAGGUCAACAGUUCAAGAGAAGGUCACGUGGGUAGUCAAUACUAGAUAGGAAUCUCUUACUUAGCGACCAGUAUGCCGGAAACAGAUUCCACUGCCGAGAUCUGCUCGGAUGUAACUAAGAAAAUUCGGAAAAGAAGAAGUCGUUCCAGCAGUCCAAGGAGAGGAUCCGCAACAUCCAAUGAGGUCUAUGAAAAUGGAGCAGUUCGUAUUGAUGUCUACCUGGCUAUUGUUCUCUUUGCUGCAGCCGUCUUGGUCAUUAAGUUGUUACCCAAAUCAUAAACAUCUGUCCCAUAGGCCUCUAGGUCUAUCUCUUUGUAUAGACAAUUCAGACAAUUUCAAUAAGGAAAUUAAAAAAAAAACAAUUCUGUUGACUGGGAAAACAUCAGAUGUCAAAUAUUUUAAACUUUAAAAAAACUUGGAAAGUCAACAUCAUCUCAGCUGGAAACAUCAGGCUCUGGAAACAUCAGGUUAGGAUAUCACAUCUAGAACUAAAUGAUGUCGUCAAAGUAAACAACAGAAAAUAAAAACACAAAUUUGAAAGAAUG